GACUAUUUAUUAUUUGAAAACAUCCUGAGAUAAAUCCUCUUGGUCUUCUCAGAUCCCCUGAGGAGCUUAAAGAAAUGCCCUCAGGGGCACUUUCCCCCAUGGAGGUGGACAGCUGCUCUGGGUGGGGCAUCAUUGGUGACUGUGGGCCUCCAGGUGAUGGAAGGUCCUUCUGACUGUGAGUGUGAGCUGAGCUGAUUAACAGGGCUGUGCUGACAUCUUUGAAGGCACAUUUCUGUGACUCCUACAUAUUGUCACCUGAGAAAACAACCCACACCCUGAUCAGGACCACGACCAAAUGGCUGCUUCUCAGUUCCUUCAAAAUUGGGCAAAAAACAUCACAAAGGUAGCAGUUAACCAGAUGCUACGACAUCCCUGCUCCCGCAUCCCCCUGGACCCUCCGACCCAGGGCCCAUAAGCCUACAUCCCAACUAAGCCCGAAGCAGCCAGAGCGGUCAACACCCAUUAUCACUAAAAGGUCGAAAUGUAAGGUCCAGGUGGAUACGGGGCGCCAAGGGAACCCCAAACACAAACUGAACACUGGCAAGGGACUUUCCAUCUCCACCAAACAUCCCGUUUCCAGCCCAACUGCAAACUGCUACAAACAUUCUGAUAGCGACCGGCAACUGACAACAAACCUGCCCAUAUAAUCUUCCCACUCCCCCUAUUGUGUGUGACUCCCCCGGCCUGUGCUUGCAGACCGAAGGACCUCACCCGAGAGCAUCUGCCUCUUGAAUAAACAGUGCACUCUGCUUUUAA